CCUGCCGCCUCCUCCAGGGAGGCCUCCGUGCUGCCUUACCGGGCGGGGUCCCUCGGGAACCUGAAGAAGGCCAGCCUCCCUGGACUCUGCCUUGGUUCGACGCCCGGGAAGCUGGAGGAGAGGCGUCCGUCUCUGCACACGAUGUUGCCAACUUGCCCGAUGUCGCGUUGCCCGAUGGAUGGUGUCGGCCCCGGCCACGUGGCCUGGGGGGAAACCACAGCAACUUCUCCACGGAUCCGCAGUCAUGAUGAUGGCAGUGGAGAAAAGGAAGACUUUCCUGUGCCGCUUCAACACAAUUACGAAGACGCCGCAUGAACUAAGAAGGUUAUCCAAGUCCCAGGCUGUCCAUUGACGGGUCUUUCAGCAGAGGCAGAUCGCUUCAUUUUCUGGAUUGAAAACAUUCUGGCUUUAUUGCCGCUAAUAGAUAUUUGAGCAGUUGAAACGGGUUACAAGUGAAGCAAAGAUGAAAA